rnacentral:rRNA from 1 species
UACGAAGGGGGCGAGCGUUGUUCGGAAUUACUGGGCGUAAAGGGCGCGUAGGCGGCCGUGGAAGUCAGGCGUGAAAGCCCCGGGCUCAACCUGGGAAUUGCGCUUGAUACUCCGGGGCUUGAGUUCGGGAGAGGAGAGUGGAAUUCCUGGUGUAGCGGUGAAAUGCGCAGAUAUCAGGAAGAACACCCGUGGCGAAGGCGGCUCUCUGGGACGGUACUGACGCUGAGACGCGAAAGCGUGGGGAGCGAACAGG